rnacentral:rRNA from 1 species
UCCCGCGUGAGGACGACUGCCCUAUGGGUUGUAAACUUCUUUUGUAUAGGGAUAAACCUACCCUCGUGAGGGUAGCUGAAGGUACUAUACGAAUAAGCACCGGCUAACUCCGUGCCAGCAGCCGCGGUAAUACGGAGGGUGCAAGCGUUAUCCGGAUUUAUUGGGUUUAAAGGGUCCGUAGGCGGACUUAUAAGUCAGUGGUGAAAGCCUGUCGCUUAACGAUAGAACUGCCAUUGAUACUGUAAGUCUUGAGUAUAUUUGAGGUAGCUGGAAUAAGUAGUGUAGCGGUGAAAUGCAUAGAUAUUACUUAGAACACCAAUUGCGAAGGCAGGUUACCAAGAUAUAACUGACGCUGAGGGACGAAAGCGUGGGGAGCGAACAGGAUUANAUACCCUGGUAGUCCACGCCGUAAACGAUGCUAACUCGUUUUUGGGCUUUAGGGUUCANAGACCAAGCGAAAGUGAUAAGUUAGCCACCUGGGGAGUACGCUCGCAAGAGUGAAACUCAAAGGAAUUGACGGA